AGGACGAACGCUGGCGGCGUGCCUAACACAUGCAAGUCGAACGGAGCCCGCAAGGGUUCAGUGGCGAACGGGUGCGUAACACGUGAGGAACUUGUCCAUCGGCGGGGGAUAGCCGGCCCAACGGCCGGGUAAUACCGCGUACGCCUUCCGGAGCGCAUGCUCUGGCCGGGAAAGCAGCAAUGCACCGAUGGAGAGCCUCGCGGCCUAUCAGCUAGUUGGUGGGGUAAUGGCCUACCAAGGCGACGACGGGUAGCUGGUCUGAGAGGAUGACCAGCCACAUUGGGACUGAGACACGGCCCAGACUCCUACGGGAGGCAGCAGUGGGGAAUAUUGCGCAAUGGGCGAAAGCCUGACGCAGCGACGCCGCGUGUGGGAUGACGGCCUUCGGGUUGUAAACCACUGUCGCGAGGGACGAAGAUCUGACGGUACCUCGAAAGGAAGCACCGGCUAACUCUGCGCCAGCAGCCGCGGU
rnacentral:rRNA from 1 species